GUGAGAAUGUCAAACGAAUGAUUGUGAGAUUGUGUUGGUUAACAACAUUUUUUUUCUAUCAAACAAAACAGACCAGUCUAUUUUUGUGAGCUGGAAAAAUAUUAAGUGUCCAAAUUGUUCAAUAAUAUCUUGCAGAACUUUUUCCAACCGGCAUCGACGAAGUCUGUGUAAGUGGCAUGCCAAAAGGAUGAACCGACUGAGCAACAUUUGUGAAUCUUCUAAUAAUCUAUAUGAUAAGUACUCGUGCUGAAUGGUAGCAAUUUCUGGAUACGGGAACCGGUAAGUUUGCCAACCGGCGCCGUCAUCGAUGGAAGGGACCAACAGCCAGUGCAUAUGUUAACGGACAUUGUCACGGGAAGGUACGUUUUCAAGCUGACGGUCUACGAUGGGCAAAGACUAUCGGCAAGCGAUACGGUUAGUAUCAUUGUCCGUCCUGAUCCCUUGUUGAUGAACCUGGGCGAAGUAACACAACCGAAGCAACCGUGUUGACCGCGAUAGAGCUUGACCCGAUUGAACAAAAGCUAAUCCUGCUGAUCGGAGACAAUCUGGCAAAGCUUCACGUACGAGAGCUGAAGGAACCAUGCACGAGUCAGGUUGUGAAACGGUUAAACAACAAAAUCGU